ACUGGGACUGAGACACGGCCCAGACUCCUACGGGAGGCAGCAGUAGGGAAUCUUCGGCAAUGGGGGCAACCCUGACCGAGCAACGCCGCGUGAGUGAAGAAGGUUUUCGGAUCGUAAAGCUCUGUUGUAAGUCAAGAACGGGUGUGAGAGUGGAAAGUUCACACUGUGACGGUAGCUUACCAGAAAGGGACGGCUAACUACGUGCCAGCAGCCGCGGUAAUACGUAGGUCCCGAGCGUUGUCCGGAUUUAUUGGGCGUAAAGCGAGCGCAGGCGGUUUGAUAAGUCUGAAGUUAAAGGCUGUGGCUCAACCAUAGUUCGCUUUGGAAACUGUCAAACUUGAGUGCAGAAGGGGAGAGUGGAAUUCCAUGUGUAGCGGUGAAAUGCGUAGAUAUAUGGAGGAACACCGGUGGCGAAAGCGGCUCUCUGGUCUGUAACUGACGCUGAGGCUCGAAAGCGUGGGGAGCGAACAGGAUUAGAUACCCUGGUAGUCCACGCCGUAAACGGUGGAUGCUGGAUGUGGGGACCAUUCCACGGUCUCCGUGUCGGAGCCAACGCGUUAAGCAUCCCGCCUGGGGAGUACGGCCGCAAGGCUAAAACUCAAAGAAAUUGACGGGGGCCCGCACAAGCGGCGGAGCAUGCGGAUUAAUUCGAUGCAACGCGAAGAACCUUACCUGGGCUUGACAUGUUCCCGACAGCCGUAGAGAUACGGUCUCCCUUCGGGGCGGGUUCACAGGUGGUGCAUGGUCGUCGUCAGCUCGUGUCGUGAGAUGUUGGGUUAAGUCCCGCAACGAGCGCAACCCUCGCCCUGUGUUGCCAGCACGUCGUGGUGGGAACUCACGGGGGACCGCCGGGGUCAACUCGGAGGAAGGUGGGGAUGACGUCAGAUCAUCAUGCCCCUUACGUCCAGGGCUUCACGCAUGCUACAAUGGCCGGUACAACGGGAUGCGACACUGUGAGGUGGAGCGGAUCCCUUAAAACCGGUCUCAGUUCGGAUUGGAGUCUGCAACCCGACUCCAUGAAGGCGGAGUCGCUAGUAAUCGCGGAUCAGCAACGCCGCGGUGAAUGCGUUCCCGGGCCUUGUACACACCGCCCGUCAAGUCAUGAAAGUGGGUAGCACCCGAAGCCGGUGGCCCAACCUUUUUGGGGGGAGCCGUCUAAGGUGAGACUCGUGAUUGGGACUAAGUCGUAACAAGGUAGCCGUACCGGAAGGUGCGGCUG
rnacentral:rRNA from 1 species